CUGAGGAGGGUCAGGCAGCGCAGAGCGCGCGAAUGCGGCUGCUCCUCCACUCUCGAAUCCUGAGGUAAAAGGCGGCAGAAAAAGGUUCGAGGCGGCGCAAGAGGUGGCCUUGGAGCCACCUCGGGCUGGAAUCUGAGGAAAACCCGCUCGAACGAGGGCUCGGAGCGAGGAGGAGGACACCGGCAUCGGGCUGCCGCCUCUUCCCGCCACUUGGCGCCUCAGGAGGCCGAGUGGCGCCUGCAGAGUUGGGCAGCACCACCCCUCCUUCCUUUCUCCCCUAGGUUCCUGAGAGCUCUGUGCUGCUCUGUUCCCUGAGCAGAUAUGAAAUGGCAGUAUUCCCUGGGAAUAGAAGGUGGAUUCAAGCAGAAGGUGUAGGAAAAAGCUUUUGAAAUCUUGUUAGAAGUUGGAUGUUGAUGAAGCCUGAACUUGCAGCAGUGCAGAGUGUGGUGGACAGCACACUUGAAAUAAAGCAGCAGCCUUGCAGCUCCAAGUCCUGUGGAUUAUGGCUGUUCCCCUUUGGCAUGGUGUUGUCUUCAGAGCAUCCCAAACCUGAGCUUUAUAAGCUGUUUGUAAGUGUUUGUGUGGAAAGAGCAUCUGAAGGAAAUCAGGAGUUUCUCAGUGGUACACCCUGGUCUUUAUCUAUGUCACUGGAAUGAUCUUUAUCAACAACUCCCAGCAUAUUAUUCCCAGGACAGGUGAUACGCUAUCCUUCUGGCUUCAGAGGUUCCAACACAGUUCUGAAAAAAAACCCUUUUAAUAAAUGAAUUUUUGUUAUUGGUGUUUUCAGGAUAUUAAAAAUGGUUGUGUGUACAGGCAAAUAAAAAUACAAAGCCAGGGCACAAUAUCCAGGGUAUCAUUAACUAUGAGCUCUUUGCUGAAUCUUCCCUCAGUGACUUUUUUCCUUCAUGAUUGUACCUAUUUUCCAAUUCCAAGCAAUUGUUGAGUAGUUUCUACUUGUGAAAUCUUCAAGCAGAUGUAAUUCUGUGCCUGCCAUGGGCAGAAAAAAAAUCUCUUAUCUGUAAAUCUUGUAUUUUCUUCCUGACCCAGAUACUUUUGAGAG